rnacentral:rRNA from 1 species
UGCCAGACUCCUACGGGAGGCAGCAGUGGGGGAUAUUGCACAAUGGAGGAAACUCUGAUGCAGCGACGCCGCGUGAGGGAAGACGGUCUUCGGAUUGUAAACCUCUGUCUUUGGGGAAGAAAAUGACGGUACCCAAAGAGGAAGCUCCGGCUAACUACGUGCCAGCAGCCGCGGUAAUACGUAGGGAGCAAGCGUUGUCCGGAAUUACUGGGUGUAAAGGGAGCGUAGGCGGGAUGGCAAGUUGGGUGUUAAAUCUACCGGCUCAACUGGUAGUCGCACUCAAAACUGCUAUUCUUGAGUGAAGUAGAGGCAGGCGGAAUUCCUAGUGUAGCGGUGAAAUGCGUAGAUAUUAGGAGGAACACCAGUGGCGAAGGCGGCCUACUGGACGGUGACUGACGCUGAGGCUCGAAAGCGUGGGGAGCAAACAGGAUUAGAUACCCCAGUA